AAAACCAAAAAAAAAAAAAAAAAAUCGAACUGAGACGAAAUGGCAGAGAGCGUUAUUACCAUCACUACUACCAUUGCUGAAAAAAUUGCAGGCUACUUGGUUGCUCCAAUUGGACGCCGGCUUAGUUAUCUGUUUUGCUACCGCAGCCACAUGGAUGAUCUCAACAACAAGGUUCAAGAGUUGGGGCUUGUGAGGGGCGACCUUCAGAUUACUGUUGAUGAAGCUAUUAGAAGAGGGGAUGAAAUCAGACCUAUUGUUGAAGACUGGUUGACUCGGGCAGACGAGAAUACAGGAGAGGCAAAGACAUUCAUGGAAGAUGAAAAGAAAAGAACCAAGAGCUGUUUCUAUGGGUGGUGUCCUAAUCUCAAGUCACGUUACCAGCUAGGCAGAGAAGCAGACAAGAAGGCGCAGGUUAUUGUCGAAAUCCAACAACACCGCAAUUUCCCAGAUGGCGUAUCAUAUCGUGUCCCUCCACGGAAUGUAACCUUUAAAAAUUAUGAACCUUUUAAGUCAAGAGCCUCGACUGUGAAUCAAGUUAUGGAUGCAUUAAGAGAUGAUAAGAUCGACAAGAUUGGGGUAUGGGGCAUGGGCGGUGUGGGCAAAACCACGCUGGUCAAACAAGUGGCUCAACUAGCUGAAGAUGAGAAGCUGUUCACCGCAGGAGUCUACAUAGAUGUAUCCUGGACUCGAGAUUUGGAAAAACUUCAAGAAGGAAUUGCUAAAAUUCAACAAAAAAUUGCAGACAUGUUGGGCUUGGAAUUUAAGGGGAAGGAUGAAUCCACAAGAGCAGUUGAACUGAAGCAGAGACUGCAGAAAGAGAAGAUCCUUAUCAUCUUAGAUGACAUUUGGAAGUUAGUUUGUUUGGAGGAAGUUGGAAUUCCUUCUAAAGAUGACCAGAAAGGAUGCAAAAUAGUGUUGGCUUCUAGAAAUGAGGACCUAUUACGCAAAGACAUGGGCGCAAGGGUAUGUUUUCCACUUCAACAUCUACCAAAAGAAGAAGCUUGGCAUUUAUUUAAGAAGACAGCAGGUGAUUCUGUGGAGGGGGAUAAACUGCGACCCAUAGCAAUUGAGGUAGUUAACGAAUGUGAGGGUCUACCAAUUGCAAUUGUAACAAUUGCAAAUGCAUUAAAAGAUGAAAGUGUGGCUGUAUGGGAGAAUGCUUUGGACGAACUGAGGAGUGCUGCGCCAACAAACAUCAGCGGAGUGGAUGACAGGGUAUACGGAUGUCUGAAGUGGAGCUACAACCAUUUGAAAGGUGAUGAAGUCAAGUCAUUGUUCUUACUUUGUGGUUGGUUGAGCUAUGGCGAUAUUUCAAUGCAUCAAUUGUUGCAGUAUGCUAUGGGUUUGGAUUUGUUUGACCACCUCAAGUCAUUGGAGCAAGCAAGAAAUAAACUAGUUACAUUGGUGAGAAUCCUCAAGGCCUCAAGCUUGUUACUUGACGGUGAAGGUCAUAGAGACGAUUUUGGAGGAGCCUCAAGGUUGCUUUUCAUGGAUGCUGAUAACAGGUCUGUCAGGAUGCAUGAUGUUGUUCGUGAUGUUGCCAGAAAUAUUGCAUCCAAGGAUCCUCAUCGAUUUGUAGUCAGAGAAGAUGUUGAAGAAUGGUCAGAGACUGAUGGAUCCAAAUACAUCUCUUUAAAUUGCAAAGAUGUGCAUGAGCUUCCUCACAGGUUGGUAGGUCCGAAACUUCAAUUUUUUCUAUUGCAGAACGGUCCUUCCUUGAAAAUCCCACACAAAUUUUUUGAAGGGGUGAACCUACUCAAAGUUUUAGACUUGUCUGAAAUGCAUUUCACAACACUACCUCCAACGCUUCAUUCCCUUCCAAAUCUUCGAACAUUACGUCUAGACAGGUGCGAGUUGGGAGACAUAGCUCUAAUUGGAGAGCUAAAGAAACUACAAGUUCUUAGCAUGGUGGGUUCCGAUAUUCAACAAUUGCCUAGUGAAAUGGGACAGUUGACAAAUCUAAGGUGGUUGGAUUUGAAUUAUUGUAAGCAGCUUAAAGUAAUUCCACGAAAUAUCUUAUCAAGCCUGUCUCGAUUAGAAUGUUUGUGCAUGAAAUCUAGCUUUACUCAAUGGGCAGCUGAAGGAGUUAGUGAUGGAGAAAGCAAUGCUUGUUUAUCGGAGCUGAAUAAUUUGCGUCAUUUGACAACUAUAGAGAUACAAGUACCAGCUGUCAAGUUGCUACCAAAAGAAGACAUGUUCUUUGAGAACUUGACAAGAUAUGCGAUAUUUGUAGGCAAAUUUCAUCCGAGGGAAACAAAUUAUAAAACAUCAAAAACAUUAAGGCUCAGACAGGUUGAUAGAAGCUCACUUUUAAGGGAUGGAAUUGACAAGUUGUUGAAGAAAACUGAAGAACUAAAGUUGAGUAAAUUGGAAAAAGUAUGUCGUGGCCCAAUUCCCAUAAGGUCUUUGGAUAACCUUAAAACUUUAGAUGUGGAGGAAUGUCAUGGAUUGAAAUUUCUCUUUUUACUUUCCACAACCAGAGGCCUUUCCCAAUUAGAAGAAAUGACAAUAGAAGAUUGCAAUGCCAUGCAGCAAAUAAUCGCAUGUGAAGGGGAGUUCGAAAUAAAAGAAGUUGAUCAUGUUGGGACCAACUUGCAGUUGCUCCCUAAAUUACGAUUUUUAAAACUUAAGAGACUACCGAAGCUCAUGAACUUCGAUUACUUCAGCUCUGAUUUGGAAACGACAUCACAAGGAAUGUGUUCCCAAGGCAAUCUUGAUAUCCACAUGCCAUUUUUCAGUUAUCAGGUUUCAUUCCCUAAUUUGAAGAAGUUGGAAUUCAGUCAUCUUCCCAAAUUGAAGGAGAUAUGGCAUCACCAACCUUCACUUGAGUCAUUCUACAAUUUGGAGAUCCUUGAAGUGUACCAUUGUUCAUGUUUGCUUAAUCUUAUCCCAUCUUAUUUGAUACAAAGGUUCAACAAUUUGAAAAAGAUAGGCGUCUAUGGCUGCAAAGUCCUAGAAUAUGCGUUUGAUCUUCAAGGACUUGAUGAAAAUGUUGAAAUCCUGCCAAAGUUAGAAACCUUGGAGUUACGAACACUACCUAGGCUAAGGUAUAUUAUAUGCAAUGAGGACAAGAAUGAUGGUAUGAGGUGUCUUUUCUCUUCUCCAAUGCUCAUGGAUUUUCAAAACCUCAAAUGUCUAUCCAUCAAAAAUUGUGCAUACGAAAACAAUGAAGAGAGACAUGUUAAUACUCCUAUAGAAGAUAUAGUGCUCUUCGGCGAAAAGGUUUCAUUCCCUAACUUAGAGGAGUUAAAACUUGUUGAUCUUCCCAAGUUGAAGAUGAUAUGGCAUCACCAACUUUCACUUGAAUUCUUCUGCAAGUUACGAAUAUUAAGUGUGCAUAAUUGUCCAUGUCUAGUCAAUCUUGUUCCAUCUCAUUUGAUACAGAGCUUCCAAAAUUUGAAAGAGGUAAAUGUGUAUGAUUGUGAAGCCCUAGAAUCUGUGUUUGAUUAUCGAGGAUUUAAUGGAGAUGGUGGAAUCCUCUCAAAAAUAGAAAUAUUGACGUUGAAGAAACUACCUAGACUAAGGCUCAUUAUAUGCAAUGAAGACAAGAAUGACAACAUGAGCUAUCUUUUAUCACCUUCCAAGUUCAAGGAUUUUUACCAACUCAAAGAGCUAUAUAUCAUUGAUUGUGGGAUGCUUUUGGAUGAAGAGGUUUCAUGUCCUCCUAAUUUGGAAGUGUUGGUUCUAAAAAGUCUUCCCAAUUUGAAGGAGAUAGAUGUUGGGAUCUUCGCAAAGUUAAAAAUCCUAAGAUUAGAGAAACUACCUAGGCUAAGAUAUACAUUUGCUUCCCAGUUCAAGAAUUUUCACAAUCUCAAAGAGCUACACAUCAUUGAUUGUGGGAUGGAAGACGGGAGAGAUGUCAGUACUCCUAGUAAUGAUGUAGUUUUCUUCAAUGAGAAGGCUUCAUUCCUUGAAUCAAGAGCCUCCACUGUGAACAAAAUUAUGGAUGCCUUAAGAGAUGACAAUAUCAACUUGAUAAGAGUAUGGGGCACGGCCGGUGUGGGCAAAACAACACUGCUGAAACAAGUGGCUCAACAAGCUAAGCAAGAGCAGUUGUUCACCGAACAAGUUUAUAUGGAUGUAUCCUGGACUCGAGACUCGGAUAAACUUCAAGGAGUUGCUGAACUUCAACAAAAAAUUGCAAAAAAGGUGUUGGGCUUCUCACUUUGGUUGCAGGAUGAAUCCGGAAUAGCGGAUGAACUGAAGCGGAGACUGAUGAUGCAAGGGAAGAUCCUUAUUAUCUUAGAUGAUAUUUGGACGGAAAUUGACUUGGAGAAAGUAGGAAUUCCUUGUAAAGGUGAUGAGACACAAUGCAAAAUAGUGUUGGCUUCGAGAGAUGGAGACGUAUUAUGCAAAGACAUGGGCGCACAAAUAUGUUUUCAGGUGGAACCUUUGCCACCAGAAGAAGCUUGGAGUUUUUUUAAGAAGACAUCAGGUGAUUCCGUGGAAGAGGAUCUUGAACUGCGACCCAUAGCCAUUCAAGUGGUUGAAGAGUGUGAGGGUCUACCAAUUGCAAUUGUAACAAUUGCGAAGGCAUUAAAAGAUGAGACCGUGGCUGUAUGGAAGAAUGCCUUGGAACAACUCAGGAGUUGUUCACCAACAAACAUUAGAGCAGUGGAUAAGAAGGUUUACUCAUGUCUGGAGUGGAGCUACACCCAUUUGAAGGGUGAUGACGUUAAGUCGUUGUUCUUACUUUGUGGUAUGCUGGGCUAUGGUGAUAUUUCAUUGGAUCUCUUGUUUCAAUAUUGUAUGGGUUUGGAUUUGUUUGACCACAUGGAGCCAUUGGAGCAAGCAACAAAUAAACUAGUUACAAUGGUGGAAAUCCUCAAAGCCUCAGGCUUGUUACUUGAUAGUCAUAAAGAUAGACACAAUUUUGAUGAAGAAAGAGCUUCAAGUUUGCUUUUCAUGGAUGCUGAUAACAAGUUUGUGAGGAUGCACGGUGUUGUUCGUGAAGUUGCCAGAGCAAUUGCAUCCAAGGAUCCUCAUCCAUUUGUAGUUAGAGAAGAUGUUGGAUUGGGAGAAUGGUCAGAGACUGACGAAUCCAAAAGGUGCACUUUCAUCUCUUUGAAUUGCAGAGCUGUGCAUGAGCUUCCUCAAGGGUUGGUAUGUCCAGAACUUCAAUUUUUUCUAUUGCAUAACAAGAAUCCUUCCUUGAAUAUCCCAAACUCAUUUUUUGAAGCAAUGAAAAAACUCAAAGUUCUAGAUUUGCCCAAAAUGUGUUUUACAACACUACCUUCAUCCUUUGAUUCCCUUGCAAAUCUCCAAACAUUGGGUCUAAAUGGGUGCAAGUUGGUAGACAUUGCUGUAAUUGGAAAGCUAACGAAACUACAAGUUCUUAGCUUGGUGGGUUCUACAAUCCAACAAUUGCCUAAUGAAAUGGUGCAAUUGACCAAUCUAAGGCUGUUGAAUUUGAAUGAUUGCGAGGAGCUUGAAGUAAUUCCACAAAAUAUCUUAUCAAACCUGUCUCGAUUAGAAUGUUUGUACAUGACUUCUAGUUUUACUCAAUGGGCGGUUGAAGGUGAAAGCAAUGCUUGUUUAUCCGAGCUAAAUCAUUUGUCUUAUUUGACAGCUUUAGAUAUAUCUAUACCAAAUGCCAACUUGCUACCAAAAGGCAUUUUAUUUGAGAACUUGACAAGAUAUGCAAUAUUUGUAGGCAAUUUCAGGAGGUACGAUUGUAGAACCAUAAGAGUGUUGAAGCUUAGGAAAGUCAAUAGAAGCUUACAUUUGGGGGAUGGAAUUAGCAAGUUGAUGGAGAGAAGUGAAGAACUAGAGUUCAUGGAAUUAAGUGGUACUAAAUAUGUUCUUCACUCAUCUGAUAGGGAAAGUUUUCUUGAACUGAAGCAUUUUGAGGUUAGUGAUAGUCCUGAGAUUCAAUAUAUCACUGAUUCAAAGGAUCAACAGUUUCUACAACAUGGUGCCUUUCCUUCAUUGGAGUCAUUGGUUCUUCGGAAUCUGCGUAACUUGGAAGAAAUAUGGUGUGGCCCAAUUCCAAUAGGGUCUUUUGGUAAUUUAAAGACUCUGCAUGUGACUUCUUGUCGUGAAAUGAAAUUUCUCUUUUUUCUUUCCACGGCUAGAGGCCUUUCCCACCUUGAAGAAAUGACAAUAGCACAAUGCUCUCACAUGCAACAAAUAAUCGUAUAUGAAACGGAGUCAGAAAUAAAAGAAGAUGGACAUGCUGGGACCAACUUGCAAUUAUUCCCAAAAUUGCGAUCCUUGGAACUCAAGAGUCUACCACAACUCAUCAACUUCAGCUCCGAGUUAGAAACAACAUCUUCCACAUCUAUGAGGACAAAUGCAAGGUUGGAAAACUCAUUUUUCAGUCAUAAGGUUUCAUUCCCUAACUUAGAGAAGUUGAUACUCUAUGAUCUAUCCAAAUUGAAGGAUAUAUGGCAUCAUCAACUUCUAUUUGGAUCCUUUUACAAUCUACAGAUCUUAAUGGUGUAUAGAUGUCCAUGUCUACUUAAUCUUAUCCCAUCUCAUUUGAUACACAACUUCCAAAAUUUAAAAGAGACGGAUGUGCAAGAUUGUAAACUCUUAGAACAUGUGAUUGUUCCUCAAGGAAUUGACGAAAAUUUUGAGAUCCUCUUAAAGUUAGAAAUCUUGAAGUUGAAGUACCUGCCUAGGCUGAGAUGGAUCGAAGACAGGAAUGAUAGCAUGAAAUAUGUUUCCUCUCCUCUGACACUCAUGAAUAUUCAAAACCUCAAAGAAGUACAUAUCACUAAUUGUUGGAUGGAAGACCUAUAGAAGAUGUAAUACUCUUUUGUGAAAAGGUGAAAGAAACUGCAGAAAAUGCUGAUGAAGCUAUGAGAUAACUUCCAAAUGCUAAUUUGAGGAUUUGUGGAUUUAUCAUUCAAAGGUUGUUCUCCCCAAGCCUCAUAGGAAGGAAACUCCGCAUGGAGAGCUAUAUAGAAGGUACUCAUUUGCAGAUUCUAGAUGCUGAAGAAUAGAUAGGCCUGAAGCAUUUUAGGCCGGUAAAACCAUUGGGAUCUGGUGACACUGGCGGGUUUAUAUGGUUUUUCUAUUUGUUGCCCAACUUUUUGCCCCAAUUUUGUUGGAAUUAUGUUCUAUCGUAUGGCUCCUAUUUUGGAACCAAAGGAUUUAUUUCCCUUUUAGGUCUAAUUUGACUCCAUUCAUUUCUGGGUGUUGAAAUUUUUCGUUUUUGAGAAGAUGUGCUUCUGGAUAUUUAUUGUGUGCUGUUUAUCUUGAAGAAACCGCAUCUAUCAGUUGCAAUUUGCUCUUACAAGAGCAAGUUAUAGGCAUGUUUCCUCUUGAUUCUUUCAUUCUCUGUUCCCAUAUAUUUGUGUUCUCGGUUCAUGUUUCAGGAUGAAUCUAUAUUGAUAUGGUACUCUGGCAAAGAAGAGAAACAACUUAAACUAAGCAAUGUUUCAAGAAUUAUUCUUGGACAGUGUACUAUAAGUUUCUAUAAAUCAUAACCUGAGGCAACUUUUAGACCAUUCUUGAAUUCAAACUUACAUCUUGUUCUUAUGUUUUC